rnacentral:lncRNA from 1 species
AAGAAAAGAGAUGAACAAAUACAAAUGAAGUCCAAAUGGGUGCAAGGUUUCUUAAUAGAAAUUAAAUGGGGUGUAGGUUUCCUAAUAGAGGGAAUAAGGGUGUAAGGUUUCUUAAUAGAAAUUAAAUGUGGAACAUGUUUCCUAAUAAGUGAAAUGAGGUGUAUGGUUUCGUAGUAUAUAUUCAAAGUAUAUUUAAGAUUUUCAACCACAUAGAAUAUUAAUGGAUAACUAUAUCAUUAAUUAGAGGGUAUUUUAA